GUGCAGCCGCCGCGGUAAUACCGGCAGCCCAAGUGAUGGCCGCUGUUAUUGGGCCUAAAGCGUCCGUAGCUGGCCGCACGAGUCCGUCGGGAAAUCCGCCCGCUCAACGGGCGGCCGUCCGGCGGAACCUGUGUGGCUUGGGACCGGGAGGCCUGAGGGGUACGAUCGGGGUAGGAGUGAAAUCCCAUAAUCCCGCACGGACCACCGAUGGCGAAAGCACUUCGAGAAAACGGAUCCGACAGUGAGGGACGAAAGCCAGGGUCUCCAACCGGAUUAGAUACCCGAGUAGUCC
rnacentral:rRNA from 1 species